GCCUAUCACUCGGCUUUCCUGGCUUCCUUAACAUUGAAAUUUUUGCGCAUUUCCAGAACUUUGGGAAGUGGCCGAACUGCAGAGCCGAGUUGCAUAUCAACAGCAGAUACUCGAUGGCGGAUGUUGGCAGAGAUUUAAUGACGCGAUUGUCGAUGCUGUCGAAACCGGGUGCCUUUUUCGUCUUGAGCUUCUUAAUUUCCGAUUUGAGUUCCUGGAUGGUUACAGGGCUGCCGUGAUCUUUGGCGUGAAACGUGCUUCCAGGUGCUGCGCAAAGGCCUCAGCUUUUUCCUCCGUAGUUUUGCACCAAGGAUCAGCAGGAGCUUGCUGCCCUUCCGCCACGUGCCUCCUGACUGGCAGAUUUGGAAUGGACUGUCUCUUGAUUGUAUUGCUUGAUCCGUUUACGUAUUCUGUUAGUCAGCUGAUUGAUAGUGCGUGCAAUGAGGGGGUUGGAGCACCUAUCUCUUUGGUUGAUUUUGCAGAGUAUUCUUUUGAUCUUGAUCGCUUUCAGCGUUUGCGAGUCAAGAUGAAGGUUUUGCGGUCCGUACACUGUGUGCUGGUUACUUGAGGCUUGCGAGGCCAAUUCAGCUGCAAUGUAGAUGUUCUUUUCAAGGAUAGCCACUGCAUCGUCUGUCGUCGCCGUUGUGAAGUUCAGUCUCCAGAUGGAUUCGCUGUUCAAGGUCUCAGGAGGAGUCUAAUGAUUUGCAUGUUGUGAUCUGAACCUAAAUCAUAUGAUGUUUCGAUGUGAAUUAAAUUGUGUCUAAUACCCUUAUAAACCGCAAA